AGAACACACUAGUGUCUCACUGUCUCAUAUGGCUCUACUUGUUGCACAUCAAAAGGCACAGAACAUUCUACAGCUCAUACCAAGUGUCUUGAACACAUCCAUACUAGAACAUAAAUAAUUCUGGCUUAGCCAAAACAGGUACACACGGAAAUGUCUCAUACAGCCAUACUUGUUGCCCAUCAAAAGGCAUAGAGUAUACUACAACUCAGACUAACACAUCCAUGAGGGAAACAUCCAACGACACAAAUACUAGAAAUGAAAACCAACACAGGUCAAACUGAAACUAAAGGUAGCAUUUUCUACGAACAAUACAUCAUCUCCGUUGGAAUCUUUGUGAAGAGUUCACUUGAAAACGCAACAGAGCACCUCGCUCAUGGCAUCCCAUUUUCAAUCAGCAGAACAUUCAUCAACUGGGAGUUACCAGCCGUAUUCCUCCAUCCAAUGGUAGGCAGGACAAGAGCGGCACAUAUGGGAAAAAUUGCAUAAAUCUAUGGUAGGUAUGGCCAAGGUGACAUACAACUGUGCUUUCUUGACGAUCCAAAUCGUAUGCCAACACUUGAUUGUUCGAAUGAGCUAUGAAGAUGAGAUUGGCAUGUGGGUGUACUCCAAUGACUUCGAGAGACUCCUUAUUUGGAAUUACAUUUGAACACUUGUACAAUUUCCAGUAGAUGCAGUCGUCAUCCUGAUGACACACACCCCAGUUAUAAAUCUCACCACUAAGAGUGUAAACGGAUAUAGUAGUCAAAGAUGUGUCCGAGUCGACAUAAAAUAGGUGCCCAUGAGACUUCCCAAUGAAACCCGAGAAACUGUUAGCUGGCAGCGGGACGAUCCUCCAUUUUAGCCCUUGUGCAUCAACUAUUGCCAACCCGAACACAUCUGCAUCAAAGCAGCUUAGCCCUAUCAGGUGCAAACAUCCGUUACGGAAAACUCUAGGCUGACCAAAGCACAGGCUAACUUGGCUGUCCCAUUUGGGUUCCAUUGCUACCCACGCACCAGUUUUUGAAGAGUAAAUCCUCACUUGUGUCACAACCUGGAAUUGUAUGCCCCGGUGGUCCGGGGGUGACCAGUCCUCUGCAAACUCGAACACAUGAAACCCCUCAGUGGAUGCAUCGCUGUCGAAACCCAGGUAAGCAAUGCUGUCGUUGCCGGCGUGGCCAUUGUGGGGCAGCAGAGUGUACUCACCGGUAGCUGGAUUGGAGACCAUGUAGCGAAAAUUGCCAGCCCCAAUAGAAAUGCGGGCAAGAAACAGUCCAUCGCAGGAAUCAUCGACGGACAUGACGCGGUCCGUGCUGUCGGGCGGCAGCGGCAGCCGCGGGUGGGUCUUGGGGACGCUCGCCCACGGGAAGGCGGACAGGUCGGCGUAGUUGACGCCGGGGAAGGCCGCGGCUUCUUCGGUGAUGCGGUAGAAGAAGCCGGUCAGGGAGUGCACAAUCUUCUUCCUGUAGACGGGGUCGGCGAUGAGGUCGCGCCAGGCCGGGCAGACGCACUUGCAGAUGCAGAGCGAUUUAUAGGGCACGCGAGAGAGGAUCUCCGCGAUUAGGUCGCGGGUGAGCCUGGACAUCGGCUCCUCCACCGGAUUCUCCAUAGCUUGGAAGGGAUGGCCGCUGGAAUAGGUAGGUUUCGACGGGAGAUGGGGCGGCGGCGGCGUGGCUUUUGGGGCUGGGGACUCGACGGAGCGGGGGAGUGGGGAGUGAGUGAUGGUCUCGGAUUGGGGAAAAGGCCCACGAUGAAGCCUCUCCCAUAAAAAAAAGUGGACUUUUUUUUUGCAUUUAUUUUUUAGAGGUUUUUGCUUUGAUAUGAAGAGCGCAUGGUCCUUUUAUUUCAGAAAUUUCCAAAGCUGCGCUGAAAUUUUGAAUUUCUCCAAAAGAAAUCUGGUGUGUGGAUUUUAGAGUGGGUCGUGUACCAGUAAAUGCUUGUGAUUUUUUAUUAAUUUGUUGCCUGGAUAUAAAAAACAAGGACGUGGCUAGCGGGCGCUCGGGCGCCUGCCGGUGAGAUCGAGCGCUCUUUCAAAUAUGGAAGGAGCAGCCGACGCGUCUGAUGUGAUUCACCAAAAAAAGAAUCUUAUCUGCAUGUUCAUUUAUUUGGGUGUUCAAAAAGUUUUUAAAAAUGUAACUUUUGAUUGAAGCGUCGAAAUUCAGUUUCGUUUUCACAUUUGGGUUUCUCACGACGAGUUCUUCAAAACUAGAUCUCAUAUUGAUAGGUUUCAUCGAACCUUUUUUCGAGGCACCUUUGGGUCCGAUGGAGACAACUUUAGUGCUAUAGGAAGGCAACUUCAUUUUUUUCCUAGUAGGACUACCUAUUAGGUUGGUUAGUGUAAAAAUGAGAAAAUCACACAAAAUAUGAGGUACCUUUAGUGCUACAUAUAAGAAACUUCAUUGCACUACGUGUAUCGAUGAAUUUUGCUAACAUUAUCGCAACUUGGCUACCAUAGCUGCUUAGUUGCCUACCCUGGAUGUUUAGUUGGCUAUCAUUGAUGUCCAGUUGCCUACAAUACUAUGAAACUGACCUAUCAUUGAUGUCCAGUUAACUGCUAUUGAUAAUUAGUUACCUACCAUUGCUGCUCAGUUGUCUAACUUUGUAAUUAGUUCACUACAAUGAUGCUUAUCAUUGUUUUUUUUUCUAAGUUUCUUAAAAACACUAUGAAGUUGCCUAUCAGGGAUGCUCAGUUGACAGCCAUUACUAUUUCAGUUGCCUAAAAUAUAUUAAAAAGUUGUCAGUCAAUGUUGCUAAGUUCCCAUUAUAUGAAACUAAGUUGUUUAUCCUAUCAAAAAGGUAUUCUAUGCAACAUAGGAUAAGGUUAGACUACUCACUAAUCAUGGCAGGCGACUUAGGAUAGGCUACCUCGGAAAGUAAGUUUCCUAUAGCACUAUCAAUUUGGAGAUGAAGCUAGUUAUGGUAGAAUACUUGGUGGUUGUGGUAGAAAACUUUGAGAUUGUUAUGCACUCGAGUGGUACACAGAAAAAGUUAGCAACUUUUGAGGUGUAUUUAUAUAGCCAUAGUGCACUCACCAGACAACUCAUGUGUACUCUGAGUUGGUAUCUAGAAAAAAGCAACCACAUGUGAAAAAGUCUAAGUUCACCAUUGAUGGGGUUAUUGGAGGCAAAACAAGAAUAAUAACUUUAAGAUCGUUAUGCACUUGAGUAUCACACAAAAAAAGUUAGCAACUUUUAGGGUGUUUUUGUGCAACUCUAGUGUAUUCAACAAGCAACUCAUGUGUGUUUUCCAUUAUUAUAUCUAGAGAUUCAAUUUUUUUUUGCUGGCAACUUGUGCCAAAAGUAUGAAAGACUUGUGUAAUUUUGCGGGAAACUGUUUGAUCCACCCCUUAUGAAAUUCUCAUCACCCCCUAUGCAACUUCUCAUCUAUCCCCACUUUCUCAACUAGCCAACACCCGCGAACUAGCUAGCCAACACGCACACGCUCAUUUGCGUAGGUGGGCAGACUAUCCCAGAAAAGGAAAGAAAAAGGUUCUCAUACCAUUCAUCCCCACAUCGUUUCCUAAUUUGGAAUCAUGAUAGACAACUUAGAUCCCACAAAAACUUUUCGACAUUGUAGGCAACUUAUAUCCCUUGAUAGACAACUUCCAUAGUAUUUUAGGCAGUUGGGAAUCAUCCGUAGGCAACUUCAUAGCAACAUAGGCCACUUGAUUUCCGAGGGAGGCAAUUUAGAAGCCAUGUCAGACAACUUUCCACUCUACGGUAAACAACUUCAUAGUAUCAUUGGCAACUAAACUAUUUACAAAUUAGUUUUCGAUGUAUGCAACUUAGCAACCAUGGUAACCAUCUAUUAGAAUAUUGCACAAAACUAUUAAUAGGCUACUAGGUGAAUUCACUAAUACACACGAUGCAAUUCAUCUAGCAUCAAAGUUGCUCCUGUUUAGCACUAAAAUUGCCUCAUCUAGCAUCGAAGUUGCUUUUGAAAAAUUCACAACGCAACUGCCCCCCUAGCAAAAUUCACACAAUUGUUCUAGUAAGAUUCAAAUCAACUAUCCCUAAUAAAAAUCCAAGCAACUAUCCUAGCAAAUCCAAGUAGUUGUAAUUCCAAAACACAAUGCAAAAUUAUUAUAAGCAACUGUCCUAGCAAAACCAAGCAACUGUCUUGAAAAUCCAAGCAAUCGCAUUACCAAAAAACACCGUGCAAAACUGUCCAAGCAAAAACCAAGCAACUUCCCUAACCAAACCAGGCAAUUGCAUUACGACACGAUGCAACUCUUCUAGCAUAUCCAAGCGACUUAUUUAUCCCCAUAAUUGAUUGCAAAAAAUUGCCCCACUAAUUCAAACAAAAAUGACAUGCAUUUGGGCAAGGACCGUGGUUUUUUCAUAACAGGCAACUUCAUAACAAUGGUUGGCAACUAGGGAGAAAUGUUUUAUCUCCUUGUGCAAAAUAUGGAUAGGCGAUAAUAGGACAAUGUAUGCAUAAUAUAUGUUGAACGCAAGUUGCUUCUUUACUAUUGAAGGUUGCCUCCAUGUAAUUUUAAAGUUGCCUACGAAUGAUGCUCAGUUGCGUACAUACGAUGAAAAUUUGUCUCAUAUGGUUUUUAUGUUGUCUACGAUAUACUUGUUAGGUAAAUUCACUAUACACAUAAUGCAAGGAAGUUGCUUCUGUUUAGUACUAAAAUUGCCUCGACUAGAACCAAAGUUGCUUUUAAAAAAAAAUCAUCGAAACAUAUACAUAUGAGAUCUAGUUUUAAAGAUCUCGUCGCGAGAAACCUAAUAAUGAAAACGGAUUUUCAUUUUGACACUCGGUUCAAAAGUUAUAGCUUUUAAAAAAUUAAGAUGGAAUAAAGUGUGAUGACACAGCACAUGCAUGCAGGUAAUCCUUAGUGAUCAUCCACACCUGACAACGCCAGACACAUUGCAAGGAGGAAGGAGGCCGUUUUCUUAGCAGUUUUGUCGCGUAGCAGGUGCGCAAGCAUGGGACAGCUCGCGUGUGCGCUCGCGACGUCCAUCCGGCGCAGCUGCGCGAUUAAGAAUUCAGAAAAAAAACAAAAGCGAAUAACUAGCCAUUAUCACAUAGAAAAGUGCUUGGUUUUAUUUUUAUUUUUUACAGGUCACAAAAAAAUUGCUAUUUUCAUAAACUUUAAAUCUGGAAACAUACUUGAGUCACUUGGACGUGAGACUUUAAAAUGUAACAGUAUGAACUUAGUUAGAGAAGUACAUGCUCCCAAAUGCACCUCAUAUUUUCCCCGUUUACAUAAUGAAUUAUGUCACUUAUUUUUAAAUCAAAAUUGAGUACUACUUUUUUUCCAGGCAUUUCCCUUGUUUUUUUAACAGACAUUUCCCAUGAUAUUUUUUUAGAAUCUUCCCAUGAUUUUGGACUAGGCUUCCUCACAGGAGGCUGCUUGCUGGAAGUAGAGGCUAGGCACUAUGAAACAUGAUACUGAGGAAAAAAAUCACAGCACCCACAUUGAUCAUCGACAAGUGGCGGAGAUCAUAUAUUUCUGAGUUGACGUCGACAGCAUCUCACGCCUAUUGGAGCCUGCUGAACUGAUGCCAAUCAGCGACACAAAAUCGAUAUAAGCCUGGAUAUUUUCAGCAACGCGAAGGAACCAUCACGACAUCAGUACCAGCACAAAAAUCAAGCAGUGGAACUCUGAUGCUUCAGUAAUCCAGUUCACUAACCAUUGCCUGAUAUGAACAAAAUACUGAAGCUUCAGGCAAAUACCAUAAUCUUUCUUCGGAUCUUUCCAUAUUUACGACACAUUAUUGGCAUUACAAAAAAAAACAAUGCUCAAUUUCCUCUCGAUUAAAAAGAUGGCAACCAUACCUUGUUAGGGUUGCUCGCACAUGAAUAAAACCACCUUCAUCUUGUUAGGACAUUGAAUUAUCAAUAGUUUUCUCCAACCGUUUUCCAUAGUCCCCUAGUUUGAUGAUGUUACUUUGGCAUCAUCACUUUGAUUUUCUCGGAGUAGCUGUGAUCUGGUAAGGUUAUAUGCAUAUCUGACUGAAUAUAUUCCACACUUAAGUGCGAGGCCAAGAGGAAAAUCAGUACAACCUUCAGAGCUUCAAUGGAAGUUUCCUGAGGAUCCUCUCUGCAAUCUCUCCGGGAUAGAGGUUCAACGGAAGUUUCCUGAGGAAAGGAGAUAACCAAUCGAACAAAGAAAAGUAGCGUAGCCACAAUUAAUAAAGGCAGGAAAUAGUAGUAUACCACUAAUAAAGAUACUAAAGCAGUGAGUACAAUAAGACAUAGGUUAGAGCAACAAAAGGGAGUAUACAGUUAUAGUAGUUAUACCUUAAGUAAAAUAUUAGCAUCAGUACAGUUACUUUAAUACUAGCAAAAAUAAGUGUCAAGUGCUAACCUUAACAAGCACCAGCUCAAAAGUGGUAACCCUAACACAUUCUUAUCUACUAGAAAGAACAACUCCAUUAUUUUACUAAACAUGCCUCUAAAAUGUUUAGUUCUACUCUAAAACAGAGUGAUCAGCCAACUAAAACAGAGUGGCAAGUCGACUUUUCUGAUUAGCCUGAGAAAGCAAGACUAGUACAUUUUAUUUUGCACAUUGUCCAGCAGAGACGAGAGUACGAGAACGCACCUACGAAGGCUAACAUUUGCAGUUUCGUAAACCCUCCUUAUCAUUACUUUCUAGGUAUUGACAAGUAAAAAGCUUUAUAUCAGGGAUAUUAUUUCAUCCCAAAUUGUUGGAACUGGAACAGAGUUAAACAGAUGGUUUCCCAACACAGUUGACUCAUGGAUGUGGAAAAUUAAACUAGAUAAUCCAGCCAUAGUUUUAAUUUGAAUCCUUUAGAAGAAAAAUAUAGCAGGAAAUUUUUCAUGCAUCAUCAAGAGAUUAUGAUCAUUUCGGAUACUGACCUUUAUCGACCUUUUGAGCUAAAAUGAUCACAUUACAUGAUGCACACAUAUGCAAACUUCUAUGAAUAUAACAUCAAACCAGAAAAAACAAGAGACCAAGAAAAUCUUAGCAGUGCAAACACCUAGAUAGAAUUGUAUGUGUGCACAUCAGAACAUAAGCACCUGUUGUUUAGCCACUCAGGUAAAACAUUACAAAUAAAUAAAUCAAAUUAGAACAUACUAGUAUCUCACUGCCUCAUAUGGCUCAUACUUGUUGCACAUCAAAAGACACAGGACAUUCUACAGCUCAUACCAAGUGUCUUGUACACAUCCAUAGUAGAAGAUAAAUAAUUCUGGCUUAGCCAAUAGAGGUACACACGGAAAUGUCUUGUACAUCCGUACUUGUUGCCUUAUCAAAAGGCACAAAGCAUACGACAAAUCGCACUAACACAUCCAUGAGGGAAACAUCCAACGAGACAAAUACUAGAAAUGAAAACCAAUGCAGAGAUCAAACUGAAACUAAAGGUAGCAUUUUGUAUGAACAAUAGAUCAUCUCUGUUUGAAUCUCUGUGAAGAGUUCACUUGAAAACGCGACGGCCAACUGAGCACCUCGUCCAUAUCAGCAGAAC
rnacentral:lncRNA from 1 species